rnacentral:rRNA from 1 species
GACGAACGCUGGCGGCGUGCUUAACACAUGCAAGUCGAACGGAAAGGCCCUGCUUUUGUGGGGUGCUCGAGUGGCGAACGGGUGAGUAACACGUGAGUAACCUGCCCUUGACUUUGGGAUAACUUCAGGAAACUGGGGCUAAUACCGGAUAGGAGCUCCUGCUGCAUGGUGGGGGUUGGAAAGUUUCGGCGGUUGGGGAUGGACUCGCGGCUUAUCAGCUUGUUGGUGGGGUAGUGGCUUACCAAGGCUUUGACGGGUAGCCGGCCUGAGAGGGUGACCGGCCACCUUGGGGCUGGGAUACGGCCCAGAACCCUACGGGAGGCAGGCGUGGGGAAUAUUGCACAAUGGGCGGAAGCCUGAUGCAGCAACGCCGCGUGCGGGAUGACGGCCUUCGGGUUGUAAACCGCUUUCGCCUGUGACGAAGCGUGAGUGACGGUAAUGGGUAAAGAAGCACCGGCUAACUACGUG